rnacentral:rRNA from 1 species
UACGGAGGGUGCAAGCGUUAAUCGGAAUCACUGGGCGUAAAGCGCGCGUAGGUGGCUAUUUAAGUCAGAUGUGAAAGCCCUGGGCUCAACCUGGGAAUGGCAUUUGAUACUGGAUAGCUAGAGUAUGGUAGAGGUGAGUGGAAUUUCACGUGUAGCAGUGAAAUGCGUAGAUAUGUGGAGGGAUACCGAUGGCGAAGGCAGCCCCCUGGGUCGAUACUGACGCUCAUGCACGAAAGCGUGGGGAGCAAACAGG